rnacentral:rRNA from 1 species
ACCAGACUCCUACGGGAGGCAGCAGUGGGGGAUAUUGCACAAUGGGGGAAACCCUGAUGCAGCGACGCCGCGUGGGCGAAGAAGUAUUUCGGUAUGUAAAGCCCUAUCAGCAGGGAAGAAGAAAUGACGGUACCUGAGUAAGAAGCACCGGCUAAAUACGUGCCAGCAGCCGCGGUAAUACGUAUGGUGCAAGCGUUAUCCGGAUUUACUGGGUGUAAAGGGGGCGCAGACGGCAGCGCAAGCCAGGAGUGAAAGCCCGGGGCCCAACCCCGGGACUGCUCUUGGAACUGCGCGGCUGGAGUGCAGGAGGGGCAGGCGGAAUUCCUGGUGUAGCGGUGAAAUGCGUAGAUAUUAGGAGGAACACCAGUGGCGAAGGCGGCCUGCUGGACGAUGACUGACGUUGAGGCUCGAAAGCGUGGGGAGCAAACAGGAUUAGAUACCCGUGUAC